UUUAAGUAAACUAUACUACUACAAAAAUCCAUCAAUUACAAAUGCCAGUACUUUUCUGCAUCUAUGUCUCCACACCAGCCCAGCCGCACCAUCUUCUACUAUAGUCCACCUGCGCGUUGAGCAUCUCUGGCCAGCUCCCAGCGCCCCGCCGCCUGUGCCCCUGCCUCUGCUCAGCGCGAAGCCGCCCCUGCCCCGCGCCCUGCUGCCCCAGACCAGCGCCUCUGUCCAGCGCCCCGUCGCGGCGCCGCCCCAUCCCCAGCGCCUGCCCCUGCCCUUGCCCAGGCAACCGCCCGCUACCGCUAUCCCCGGUGUCGCCGCCCACUACCCCAUCCCCAGCCCCUCCUCUCGUCCAAGGUCUCGCGGAAAACUCCUUCAACUGCGGUCCGUCCAAGGUCCGCCGGCGGGCGGCUACUCAAGCAGAGCGCGGCGUGGCAGUUGCCGGAUGGGGAAGGAGAUGACGGGAGGGAGGCUCCGGGCGUGGCAGUUUGACGGAUGGGGGAUCCCGACCUCCAUGCUCUAUAUGAGGGAUCCCGACCUGAAUAUGGGGCAUGGUUGGAUAUGAGAAUGGGAUGGGGUACUGCUGGAGGGCGUUUUUGGCCCAAAUUUCCUAAAUUAAGGUAUUGAGCGCUUUAUAGGAGAUCUCUUGGAGUUGCUCUUAGGGAGCUACGUGGAAUUAAUCAAAUGGUACCAUGAUGACCUUGAGCUCCUUCGUCAGGUCGCCGCCGUCGUCGGCCGCUCCGUCAACCUAUCUGCGUCAGCGCGCCCUCGUCGUCUGGAUCGAGCGUACCAAAAGGAGACGACGAGUGCACUGACCUCCUCCUACCAAAUUAGGACCAGAACCCAUCAACCCUGAGCCUGAAGCUACUGGUGAUCUGGUGCUGUCCGUCACAGUGAGCCCCACAUGAGCACGAGCUGGCCGGGAAUCGUGGAGAGGCACCGGACGAAGCCGGACGCCAAAGACGGGGCAGCCACGUACAGGAGGAAGAUGCACACACUGGAGGUGAAAGACGACCUUGACAGCAAGCACUACCUGUCUGAGAGAGAAGAGACGAGAGAGGUCACUAGCGGAUCACAACCUUUGAAUUUAAUCGACGGUCCAAAUUAUAAGAUGUAUAUGACCGUAUUUUAUACUCCCUCAGUUCCAAGAAACAGUGGAAGAACAUUGACCAUAGAAAUUGUGAUCUUUGCCCA